rnacentral:misc_RNA from 1 species
GAUGAAGAACGUAGCAAAAUGCGAUACUUGGUGUGAAUUGCAGAAUCCCGUGAACCAUCGAGUUUUUGAACGCAAGUUGCGCCCGAAGCCUUUUGGCCGAGGGCACGUCUGCCUGGGCGUCACGCAUCGCGUCGCCCCCCACAAUUCUCCGUAAAGGGAACAUGUGUUUUGGGGGCGGAUAUUGGUCUCCCGUGCUCAUGGCGUGGUUGGCCGAAAUAGGAGUCCUUUCGAUGGACGCACGAACUAGUGGUGGUCGUAUAAACCCUCGUCUUUUGUUUCGUGCUGUUGGUCGCAAGGUAAACUCUUUAAAAACCCCAAUGUGUCGUCUCUUGACGACGCUUCGACCGCGACCCCAGGUCAGGCGGGACUACCCGCUGAGUUUAAGCAUAUCAAUAAGCGGAGGA